rnacentral:misc_RNA from 1 species
UUUCCGUAGGUGAACCUGCGGAAGGAUCAUUAUUGAGCUAAAAGUCUCUCAGACAGGUUUUGUUGAAAGAGAGCAGCUUGCGGGGACGCCACCGAGUGUGGCCGAUUGCCAGCUUUCUAGCUGAACGCAGUUGCCCUUAGCGAGAACAAACGAGACGCGUCUCCGAUCCGGGAAUGGGGCCCCGGACGGACGUGCUUGUUUUGGAAAGUAACCAACGGUCUUUCGGUUGGUGUCUGCGCUCGGUGCGAGUGACUGUCAAUCCGUCGGUCAUGCUUGAACAUCGGGAGACAGUUCGCUUUGGCCUUCAUCGGCCGAAGUUGAGCAGACUCAAUGAGCAUCAGCUAGGAUGCCGCCAACUAUUCGCCUAAACGAUGUUGAUAAUCGAGAGAAAGUUGGCCUAGUGUCGACUAAAAGGAUAACCACUCUAAGCGGUGGAUCACUCGGCUCGA